rnacentral:rRNA from 1 species
GAUUAACGCUAGCGGCAGGCAUAAUACAUGCAAGUUGAACGGCAGCACAGGUAGCACUACUGGGUGGCGAGUGGCGCACGGGUGCGUAACACGUAUGCAACCUACCCUAUACAGGCGAAUAACCUUUAGAAAUGAGGGCUAAUACGCCGUAGUAUUACAGAUGGGCAUCUAUUUGUAAUUAAAGAUUUAUCGGUAUAGGAUGGGCAUGCGUCCCAUUAGUUAGUUGGUAAGGUAACGGCUUACCAAGACGAUGAUGGGUAGGGGAUCUGAGAGGACUUACCCCCACACUGGUACUGAGACACGGACCAGACUCCUACGGGAGGCAGCAGUAAGGAAGAUUGGGCAAUGGCCGCGAGGCUGACCCAGCCAUGCCGCGUGCAGGAAGACGGCCUUAUGGGUUGUAAACUGCUUUUAUACGGGAAUAAUAGAGUGUACGCGUACAUUUAUGCAAGUAUCGUAUGAAUAAGCAUCGGCUAACUCCGUG